rnacentral:lncRNA from 1 species
AGUUUUCCAUAGGUGCUACCUAAAUCUUCCCCCGCAUUGUAUUUGAAAGGAACCUUUGAGGGGCAGGUAGUGUUGGGGUUAAAGAGCUAAAACAUGCUUUGCACAAAAACUUGUUUCUCAGGAUUUCUACGCAUUUAAUUGCCUGUGUUUGCCUACAGCCCUGAGUGUCUCUGUUGCUCUUUGUGUAAAUAUCUCCUCUUCCAGUCCCCUCCUACUCUCCACGUGGUAGCCCUUGUUAGUGCUGUGUCCCUUCCAGGCACAGCAGUAUCUCUCCUCCUCUUUUGACUCUGCCCUAGAGUGCCCUGUGGCCAAGGGUCCUUUCUUCUGGCCACCUGGCUUGCCUCUUUCUUAGGCUUCUCAGCAUAAUGGUUUGAAGUCACCAUUCCCUGCAAGUGUUCUUAAUUAACCUCACCUUUUCUCCAGUCUAUUCUGUUAACUCCUGCCUCAUCUCUUCCUCUUAAUGCCCCAUUUGUAAUUAUCAUUGCGGUCCUGACAUAUUUCCAGGGGACAUGGAUUAGUUUUUUUCCCCGACUAGAGUGUAAAUUCCUCGAGGCGUUUUUUUCAGUUUAUAUGUUCUGAGUUCCUUUUGCUGUGCUGAAGUCUCCAAAGCCCAAAGACAGGACUUAGAGGAUCUGGAUUCUCGUGGUCUCCAGCUGACUUCUGUCUUGGAGGCUUCUCCAGGAACUCAGCUUUCAGGAUUGGAGCCAAAAUCUCAGAAUAAGCAGCAGCCAGAGACAUCCUUUCCAUUUUGCAGAGGGGUAAACUGGAAGAGAUGGCAACGACUUGAGAGAGGGCCUCAAGGCCAACCAGGACCAGAGCCGGUGCAGCCCUGCCCUUAGAAAGCAGUGCCUGGGACCUCCUACCACCAGAAGCUCGUCAGCCACCAUCCAUGCCAACAAAAUCAAGGAAACUUCUAUUUUGAGCUAUUUACAGUCUUUAAUAAUUGAGUAAGGUAUACUCCUGUGAACAAAAUUUGGAGCAUAUUUGUUUCUCUCUGCCUGGCUUCUCCAGAAUUUGGAAACUAUCUGUGAGUAUUCUUAACCUAUGGCAAUAUAGUUAUUAGCCUCAGUGCAGUAGGAAUCCAUUUUCUUUU